UCCGUUUGAGAGUGUCCGCAUGCUCUGACCGUCUUAUUUUGCUUUCCAGCCGGCUCAUUGAUUAAUCUGAUCUUCAUGGAAUAUCUCGAGUUGGUUAUAUGAUUUUUCAGCUAUUGGAAUUUUCCAGCUGGUCUCAACCCUGGGAUAACUUGCUGAAGGACAUCAAAGGAUAAAUUCAUCGUUGGAAUAACAGCUGGAAAUUUUAUCGUCUGUCGAUAAUGGAAGUGCGCGAGCGAGUGCAUGUGUGGGUUAUUCCUCAGCUGAUCUCACGAAAAACAUAAUCUAGCAAAAAAAAAUUAUUUUUGUUUAUUUUUUUUUAUAAAACAUGUCAACUUCAUAAAGUCUAAAAUAGUAACUAGAUGCUGUUAGUGUGGAAUAGUACAUAGUAUAUGAACAAAUGUUGUAGCAAACAUAGUAUAUCAUUCUGAAUCUAAUUCAUGGUAUAUCU
rnacentral:misc_RNA from 1 species